rfam:Aphanomyces invadans strain NJM9701 unplaced genomic scaffold supercont1.18, whole genome shotgun sequence.
GCCAGCUUGGUGUAGUGGUUAUCACAUCUCGUUUACACCGAGUAGGUCGCCGGUUCAAUCCCGGCAGUUGGUA